GGGUUAGCCCCCAAAAUAUUGGGACAUAUAAAAAAAAAAAAAAAAAGACAACUCUGUUCCGCAGAGUAGCUGUUGACAUUAUAGUUGCGCAGGAACUUUUUUGAUUCUAGAGAACCAUGGGCAAAUCGCACAUCCCCGUGGCGGCGACUUUGCAUGCGGAUGUCAUCCAUAUCAACUUUCGAUGCCAGUUUCUGCGCCUACCAUGGUGACCACGGGUAACGGGAAUCAGGGUUCCAUUCCGUACAGGGACCCUGAGAAACGGCUACCACAUGCAAGGAAGGCAGCAGGCGCGCAAAAGACCCACUCCUGACACGGGAAUAUAG